AUCGUCUAUACGGAAGAAAUGUUAAGUCUUGAAAUCAGGUGGAUUUGCUACUCUUUGUUACAACUGCGGAUUGACUUAUGAGAAUUUAUUCUACUACAAAACAUUCCAUCCAGAUGAAUCUGGUUGGAAGCAAUGCGCUAUGUGUGGGAAGUGUAUCCACUGUGUAUGCAUCGCUUCAAGACAGUCACGUGAAUACAUGGAUUUUAGAGGUGUAGGGUACAAAAAUUAAGCGUUCAGAAAUUCAUUUUGUGCGAUCAAUGCAGAUCCAUGGUGAAGAGAUUCGUAAUGCUACAUUUGUCACAAAUGGUACUGGAGCUAUGCAUCCUUUAGUUGUUGAAAAUCGAAAGGAUGAUGAUAAUUUUGGUUCUAGAGGCUCCUGCAGUUGGUAAAGAUUACAGAUGCAGUAAAAUUGGACAACUCACCCACUCUCAUCAAGAUGGUUUAAAUACAGCCUUUGCCGCAAUCAAAAGUACAAGCUCUGGGAAUCCCUCUCAGAAGUUGACUGGCUCUUCUGUAUUUAUGAGAACAUGUAACGAGAGACAAAUACACAAGGCUAAAGAAUUGUAUGAAUCUCCGAAUCAUCAUUCUCUAAAUUUCUCAUUCAGCCCUUUUUUAGCUACUCCGAAACACUUAAACGUACAGGAGCCAAGGGAACAUGAAAGUUUGCCAAA